UUUUGUUCACUGUUGGUGGACCACCCAGGCCUGUUUCCACAGCCCCAUCUCAGAAAGGGGGUAUAAUGUCACCAUCCCCUCCCCCUCUGGCUUCCUUCCUGGGUUCUGUAGAGAUGAAAUGCCUAUGGGCUGGAGCACAGGACCCCUGUGCAGCAGCAAAGCUUUGGGAACCGCCUAGCAUGCCUUGUGCCGUCAGAGCCUGGGGUGGACAGGUCUUCCCUACAACCAUGUCUGUUUUGCCUCAGGACACGGCUGACAUCAGUGUCCUGCUGGAUUCGUCAUCUGACCUUAGAUUCUCCCACCCUAAGUCACCUUAACCAACUGCAAAUAAGCACCUUGUUUAGGGCCUUUGUGUUCUCCAUGGCAGUGGCCACAGUCUGUGGACUCAGGCUUGGCCCAUCCUCACCUCACAUCUUCUGUUCCUCUCUACCAAAUGUUUAAGGCCUCCCAGAAGGCUCUGCUCCUCCACUCUCACCCCAGACUUCUGCCCUGCUUUCCUAUCUGGCCAACUUCUACUCGUACUCAGCUCUCAGCAAACAUGUCCUUUCCUCCAGGAAGCCUUUCUUGAUCUCCACUGCCUUCUGCAAGUCCCCACAGCCCCCUUCACUGCCCUGGGUGGAAUGUUCAUUGCAGUGUUCUCGGUCACUGCAGAGAUAAGCACAGGGAAGGCUGGAGCACGCUGGGCUUGCCCUCUGCUGGACUCUGUAUCCCGCGCAGUUUGUACUUGGCUCGUCAUAGACAGUGAGUAAACAUUUGUCGAUCAAAUGAAUACAUCCGUGACUCUGGUUAUGGGGACAGAAGGCCACUUCACUGCCUUGUCGUUCAGUUCAGCACCUUUUCUGCCUCAUCCACGAGGACUUUAUGAACCUGCAUUCUUCUCUGAAGUCAGGGUACUCAUGAGGCCUCUGGUGUUCUCCCACCACACAGGUUGGCCUCUUCUUUGCCAAGACCUUUCCCAUCUAGUCUACCGGGUUACAUUGGAGUGGCUGGGGCGGUGAGCCCUUCCUUUCCAAGCCCAGGAUUAUUCCGUUCUUUGUCUGCUCCAUAUCAUGAUAGCUCUCCUCUUGAGAGAGACACAGCUGUCCGCUCCCUGAAGAGACUGAGAAUGCAGUCGUGACCCCUCCCCUUUUCACUUGUUCUUCAGCAUCUUUGAUGCUCCCUUGGAGAUUGGUCCAAGGAUAUGAACUCGUGCCAUCUGGUCCUUAAUAGGCUGGUUAAUCAGGACGACUGUCAGGCAGAGCUGUGCUUGGGCUGCUUGCAACUCUGUCAGUCAUAGAUAGGCUACCCCUUCUUCUUCUCUUUGCCACCUGUCGGGAGUCUGCUAGGAUGUGUAGACGUAGAUUGACAGGACAGCUGAGGUGUAACAUGGAGGUCUGCGCAUCCCCACUGGGUACUCGUGUGCUAUCUACAUGCCAGAGAUGUCCCACGAUGGGGGGGGGGUGCUUCUAUAGAGCUAGAUUACCAAGUUGGGGCUUUGUAGCUGUUCUUUGUCCGAAGCCCAGUGAGUGACAGCAGUCUUCCCUUUUGGAUCGCUGGGGAAACUGAGGACAUUGGUGAUGGUCUCACUUCCUGAGUGUCUGGAUGACCUGUCCACCACUGUGGUAUAGCUGAGAGUGAUAUGAGAUCAUGAUGUAGCCCUUCCCACACCCCUGUGGAUAUAGCAGAGGGAGGCAACCGCCUACUGAAGCCAGGCACUCCAAUUCUCUCAUGUCCUUCCGUAGGGAAAUAGGUGACACUUCCUGAGCAGCAGGAGCCUGUUGCUGACAAGGCCACUUUUCCUCCAGUUUAAUAGAGGUGACAGCCAUCUAUUUUACUUGUCUCGUAACAUCCAAUCAGUAAAUAAAAUAUGGGGGAACUCUCAGGUUAAACUGAAUUACAGCUGAUCCCUGGGGAGUGAGGCUUGGGGGAGACUUUAACAGAAAGAUUGAGUCCCUGACUUCUUGUAAGAGAAGUAGAGCCUGGGUAUUUCUCCUGAAUCCUGGAAGUCUCUUUUCUUGUGGGAAGGGACCAGGUCAUAGUGUUCAAUGUUGUCAGAGUCCAUGGAAGAACCAGAGCACCAGUGGGGGAAUGGCCAGUGUUGGGGACCACAUGGCCAGUGUUGAGACCACAUGGCCAGUGUUGGGGACCACAUGACCAGUGUUAGUACCACAUGGCCAGUGUUGGGACCACAUGGCCAGUGUUGGGACCACAUGACCAGUUUUGGGACCACAUGGCCAGUGUUGGGACCACAUGACCAGUGUUGGGACCACAUGGCCAGUGUUGAGACCAUGUGGCCAGUGUUGGGAUCACAUGGCCCAUGUUGGGAUCACUCUCAUUUGUCACUGGACAAGAAAAAUGACUGGUUUAUGCUUCUUGGUGAGCUGUGGGGGAAAAGUGGGGCUGAAGUGGGGCUAAAGCAUGGACUCCUGGUCCUGGCCUCUUAGCACGCACACAGACAGACAGACAGACAGACAGACACACCACUUUGAAGCUUUAACUUCAUAGGUUUAUUUAUUAGUCGAGACAGGAUCUCACUUUGUUGCCCAGGCUGGCCUUGAGCUCUUGAGUUCAGGUGAUACCCCUGCACCAACGACCUGAGUAGCUCUGGCUACUAGUACAAGCCGCUAUGCUCGACUAGACCUGUAGUCUUUAGAGAUCUACACAGACUAGAGUUUUCCAGUGUGGGAGGAAAAAACACCUCUGAAAUAUCUUUCCACAGAGGGAGAAUACAGAUUGGCUUUGUAUGUGUUUAUAAAAGCUCCCAGUUAAUAGUCCUGCUAGACUUACUCAGAGGCAGGGGGAUGGAAGGCUGCCCUGGAGCCGCCGCUGCCUUCAGCACCACGGAGAGCAGCCAGUUUCUGGGCUAGGAUGCUUAGCGCUGGAUUGCUCCAUGGCUCUUCUCUCUAGUCCUGGUGUGGCUACGGGCACACUUAAACAGGUAGUCUGCCUUCCAGCGCAGGUCCCCUAAGGCUCUGGUAGUCACAUACAGGACAGCGGGCUCCAAGAAGCCCACAGCUGGAGAGGAAACACCAGGAAUUGUGUUAAGUCACACAUGGUCAAAGGGAGGUGAAGCCUCUGGGUAGAAUUUCUCCUUUUUUCCCCUUCCACGUAAACGGUUCUUAAAUCUUCGGUGCCGUGUACGGCUUGUCUGCUAGGGAGCGGUAGCAGAUGACAAAAUGCAUGAGCAUCCGCCUGUCAGAUAGCACACCUGAUAACCACGAGCCGCCGCCUGGCCUGCCGGCGUCAUCUUUCACAUUGCAUUUGGAGGAAACAAAGGACAGAAGUAGUACUGGUCUCCUACCUGCCAUCUCUGGCCUUACCUGCUUCGGUUUGACUGACUCCUGACCUCCCAUAUGGACAGGGACUUCUCUAAGGUAGACAACACAUCUGGAAGAUUGACCCAUCUGUUUCCUUCGUCCAAAUGUUUUGGUGUCAUGAAGAUAAAGCCACAGAGAUGUAACUGCCAGGGCCCAGUUCCCAGAAGGCCAUAAAACACGGGUGAUCCUGCUGGGCCCCGAAUGCCACAAUCCAGCAAAGUGCUCCUCGUAUUCAACACAUGGUGAUUUUUUACAAAAUCGCUGAACUAGCCAUGUUCUCUGUAUUGAUCAAUAAAUUACUUUGAUGAAAACUCAA